AGUCAUAUGCUUGUCUCAAAGAUUAAGCCAUGCAUGUGUCAGUACAUACCCAACUAAGGUGAAACCGCGAAUGGCUCAUUAAAUCAGCUGUGGUUCAUUGGAUCUUAAUCCCACUUACUUGGAUAACUGUGGUAAUUCUAGAGCUAAUACAUGCCUCCAGUCUCUGACCGCAAGGGAAGAGCGCUUUUAUUAGUUCAAAACUGGUCGGGCCUCGGUCCGUAAGCCAAAGGUGGUGACUCUGAAUAACUUUGGUCUGAGCGCAAGGUCUGUGAACCGGCGCCGAAUCUUUCAAGUGUCUGCCUUAUCAGCUCUCGACUGUAGGUUAUGUGCCUACAUUGGCUAUAACGGGUAACGGGGAAUCAGGGUUCGAUUCCGGAGAGGGAGCCUGAGAAACGGCUACCACAUCUAAGGAAGGCAGCAGGCACGCAAAUUACCCACUCCCGGCACGGGGAGGUAGUGACGAAAAAUAACGGUGCGAGACUCAUCCGAGGCCUCGCAAUCGGAAUGAGUACACUUUAAAUCCUUUAACGAGGAUCAAUUGGAGGGCAAGUCUGGUGCCAGCAGCCGCGGUAAUUCCAGCUCCAAUAGCGUAUAUUAAAGUUGUUGCGGUUAAAAAGCUCGUAGUUGAUGCUAAGUUCCGGACUGACGGUGCACCGCCCGGUGUCCCUCCGUCACGCUCCGAACAGCUUAAGACUUGGCCCCGCCGGCUGGCACGGGGUGCUCUUCAUCGAGUGUCCCGCGUGGCCGGCAAGUUUACUUUGAAAAAAUUAGAGUGCUCAGAGCAGGCUACCUGAACGGCCUGAAUGUUGGUGCAUGGAAUAAUGGAAUAGGACCUCGGUUCUAUUUUAUUGGUUUUCGGAACCCGAGGUAAUGACUAAUAGAAACAGGCGGGGGCAUUCGUACUGCGACGCUAGAGGUGAAAUUCUUGGACCGUCGCAAGACGAACUACUGCGAAAGCAUUUGCCAAGGAUGUUUUCAUUAAUCAAGAACGAAAGUUAGAGGUUCGAAGGCGAUCAGAUACCGCCCUAGUUCUAACCAUAAACGAUGCUGACUAGCGAUCCGCCGGCGUUAUUCCCAUGACCCGGCGGGCGGCUUCCGGGAAACCAAAGUCUUUGAGUUCCGGGGGAAGUAUGGUUGCAAAGCUGAAACUUAAAGGAAUUGACGGAAGGGCACCACCAGGAGUGGAGCCUGCGGCUUAAUUUGACUCAACACGGGGAACCUCACCAGGCCCGGACACCGGAAGGAUUGACAGAUUGAGAGCUCUUUCUCGAUUCGGUGGGUGGUGGUGCAUGGCCGUUCUUAGUUGGUGGAGCGA
rnacentral:rRNA from 1 species